AUACGGAGGGUGCAAGCGUUACUCGGAAUCACUGGGCGUAAAGCGCGCGCAGGCGGGCUGAUAAGUUGGAUGUGAAAGCCUACGGCUCAACCGUAGAACUGCAUCCAAAACUGUCAAGCUAGAGUCUGGGAGGGGAAGAUGGAAUUAGUUGUGUAGGGGUAAAAUCCGUAGAGAUAACUAGGAAUACCAAAAGCGAAGGCGAUCUUCUGGAACAGUACUGACGCUGAGGCGCGAAAGCGUGGGUAGCAAACGGGAUUAGAAACCCUGGUAGUCC
rnacentral:rRNA from 1 species